rnacentral:rRNA from 1 species
UACGUAGGGGGCAAGCGUUGUCCGGAUUUAUUGGGCGUAAAGAGCGUGUAGGCGGCUAGAUAGGUCCGUUGUGAAAACUCGAGGCUCAACCUCGGGACGUCGAUGGAAACCAUCUGGCUAGAGUCCGGAAGAGGAGAGUGGAAUUCCUGGUGUAGCGGUGAAAUGCGCAGAUAUCAGGAAGAACACCCGUGGCUAAGGCGGCUCUCUAGUACGUGACUGACGCUGAGACGCGAAAGCGUGGGGAGCGAACAGG